UACGGAGGGUGCAAGCGUUAUCCGGAUUCACUGGGUUUAAAGGGUGCGUAGGUGGGCAAGUAAGUCAGUGGUGAAAUCUCCGGGCUUAACCCGGAAACUGCCAUUGAUACUAUUUGUCUUGAAUACUGUGGAGGUCAGCGGAAUAUGUCAUGGUAGCGGUGAAAUGCUUAGAUAUGACAUAGAACACCAAUUGCGAAGGCAGCUGGCUACACAAAUAUUGACACUGAGGCACGAAAGCGUGGGGAUCAAACAGGA
rnacentral:rRNA from 1 species